GGUGGAUUUGUCUUCAAUGGCAUAAUCAGGAAAGAUUGAAAUAGAGCUGUUGGGUGUCAAAAUGGAAGAGGGGCUCUAUAGGUGAAGAACAGAGUCCCUAGCCUGGCGCAUGUUAAGUGCCUCUGGGUGCAAUGCCAAGUACCAACAACAACAAAAAAUACAGUUCUUAAAAAAUAGGCUUUGGGGUAGCCACAUUGAGAAUGUGCUGUUUAAAUCUACAGAUGCAGCCAAACUAGAAGGCUAAUGUGAAAGGAAAGCGAGGAACUGAGAGACCAGGUGAGCGAGAAAUGAAAGACGGAGACCAGGCAGAGAUACACACCAGGUUUACUUGUCAGAGCUGACAAAUAAAGGCCAUCUCUCCAUAGACAGAGAGAGGCAAUACAGGCUUGGGGUUUGAGACUUUUAUGGGGAGGUUCAGUGAUUAGAGCCCAGUAGGUCCUAAUGUGGGCAGUUAAGUGUGGGUUUGGUAUGAGGGAGUGGUGAGCCUUUCUCAGAAAGGCCCUUGGGUAGGAAAGCGAAAGUUUUCUUAAAAUGGUGGCUGUCACUUAAGAUGGACAUCCUGAUGCUAAGCCAAGGACCUUACAUAAUAGAUUCAACAAAAUCCAAUUUUUUUUAGAAGUUAGUAGGUUGGAAUGGGCUUAAUCUAAAACAAAACAAAAAAAAAACAGAGCUCAAUAUAGACAAACAUAACAACUAGAACUGGGCCCAAGAAACCAACUGCACUGGAAUAUAGAUUAAGAGCAACAGACGUGAUAGGAUGUCAAUGUUAAAGAUAGCAAAAGGAUGGGCUGGGGAUGUGGCUCAAGCGGUAGCGUGCUCGCCUGGCAUGCGUGCGGCCCGGGUUCAAUCCUCAGCACCACAUACAAACAAAGAU
rnacentral:lncRNA from 1 species